UUUCACAUUCCCUAAGAGGAUCUAAAUGUACGUGAAAUAGGCCUAACUAACAAAAUAUAUUUGUUACUUUCAAUGAGGUUUACAUGGUUGUUCGAUUUUUCAGUUUCAACAUCUAAUUGGAAUUUCUCUGGAAAGUUUACAAUGUCCGAUAUUUCUACACAUCUGCCACAAAUUUAUGGAAAUCAAUAUUUAUAGAAACUGAACAUACCUUGGUUAAACGUAUAUGAAAUGGAUUAUCAUCAUUGAAGAACAUCAACCAGCUGUCGGCAACAUGCAGGUUGACUGAGGAAUCCCCAGUGCGUGGUCACGGACCGUUCCCCAUAUAUCUACUGACUUCAUAUAAAUGAAAGUGUACUAAAGGCUCACUGAUCUACACUACCAGCUCAUGCUCAACGUUACUGAACAACAAAGUAAUCCGACAAUCAGACUGGACCCGGUCAUGUUAGGUACCAAAGGAAAACGAAAAUAUCAUUGGUUCUAUACUGAUGCAUGACUUCGCUCGGAACGCGGCAAGAAUUAACAAUGGAAGAAAAUACUACAGACGUGUUUAUUAACGAUAAAGUUAUUUUUGUUUUUAUGAAAUAGCGAUUGAAUAAAAAUAUUAGGUAUAUGAGUUUUAUUUAGAGAUGAAAUAAGUCAAGAA
rnacentral:lncRNA from 1 species